rnacentral:rRNA from 1 species
UUAUACCGUGAAACUGCGAAUGGCUCAUUAAAUCAGUUAUCGUUUAUUUGAUAGUACCUUACUACUUGGAUAACCGUGGUAAUUCUAGAGCUAAUACAUGCUGAAAACCCCAACUUCGGGAGGGGUGUAUAUAUUAGAUAAAAAACCAACGCCCUUCGGGGCUUCUUGGUGAUUCAUGAUAUCUUUACGGAUCGCAUGGCCUUGCGCCGGCGACGGUUCAUUCAAAUUUCUGCCCUAUCAACUUUCGAUGGUAAGGUAUUGGCUUACCAUGGUUUCAACGGGUAACGGGGAAUUAGGGUUCGAUUCCGGAGAGGGAGCCUGAGAAACGGCUACCACAUCCAAGGAAGGCAGCAGGCGCGCAAAUUACCCAAUCCCGACACGGGGAGGUAGUGACAAUAAAUACUGAUACAGGGCUCUUUUGGGUCUUGUAAUUGGAAUGAGUACAAUUUAAACCUCUUAACGAGGAACAAUUGGAGGGCAAGUCUGGUGCCAGCAGCCGCGGUAAUUCCAGCUCCAAUAGCGUAUAUUAAAGUUGUUGCAGUUAAAAAGCUCGUAGUUGAACCUUGGGUCUGGCUGGCAGGUCCGCCUCACCGCGUGUACUUGUCCGGCCGGGCCUUCCUUCUGGAGAACCUCAUGCCCUUCACUGGGCGUGUUGGGGACCAGGACUUUUACUUUGAAAAAAUUAGAGUGUUCAAAGCAGGCCUUUGCUCGAAUACGUUAGCAUGGAAUAAUAGAAUAGGACGUGCGGUCCUAUUUUGUUGGUUUCUAGGACCGCCGUAAUGAUUAAUAGGGACAGUCGGGGGCAUCAGUAUUCAAUUGUCAGAGGUGAAAUUCUUGGAUUUAUUGAAGACUAACUACUGCGAAAGCAUUUGCCAAGGAUGUUUUCAUUAAUCAGUGAACGAAAGUUAGGGGAUCGAAGACGAUCAGAUACCGUCGUAGUCUUAACCGUAAACUAUGCCGACUAGGGAUCGGGCGAU